AUCUGAAGCCCAUGUCCAGGAUCCGUCUGUGUGUGGUGGCUCUUGAUGCACUGACUCCAGCCUCAGUCCACUCCUUGUGAAAGUCCCCAACACUUUUGAAUGGCCUUUUCCUGACAAUCCUCUCCAGGUUGCGGUCAUCCCUGCUGCUUGUGCACCUUUUUCUUCCACAUAACUUUCUAUUAAUGUGCUUUGAUACAGCACUUUGGGAACAUCCAACUUCCU